GGAGAUGUAGCUCUGUGGUAGAGUAUGUGUUCAGUGUGCAUAAAACCGUGGGUUCAAUCUCAUGUUCAUUUCUA
rnacentral:tRNA from 1 species